GUCAAUCUACGUGGGAUGCAGAAACGAAGUUGCAUGUGCCGAUCGAUGACGGUCUAGUGUUUCCCUUCUUUUUAAUUUCUCGCAUUUUGACUUUGAGCGACCACAUAAAUUUAUGAGCUCCGGCCUUGAGUAGCUGCUCCUACUACUGCUAUAUGUAACUUUGAUCAUCGGACCUGCUUAUGACGUGCAUGCAUGUGUAGCCCUGCUUCGCUCUGCUAUCGUAGAGAUGGACUCAAUCAAUAUUAAC
rnacentral:lncRNA from 1 species